AAUAUUGGACAAUGGGGGCAACCCUGAUCCAGCCAUGCCGCGUGUGUGAAGAAGGUCUUCGGCUUGUAAAGCACUUUAAGUUGGGAGGAAGGGCUUUAGGUUAAUACCCUGAAGUUUUGACGUUACCAACAUAUUAAGCACCGGAUAACUUCAUGCUAGCAGCCGCGGUAAUACGAAGGGUGCAAGCGUGAAUCGGAAUUACUGGGCGUAAAGCGCGCGUAGGUAGUUUGUUAAGUUGGAAGUGAAAGCCCCGGGCUCAACCUGGGAACUGCUUUCAUAACUGCUGAGCUAGAGUACGGUAGAGGGUAGUGGAAUUUCCUGUGUAGCGGUGAAAUGCGUAGAUAUAGGAAGGAACACCAGUGGCGAAGGCGACUACCUGGACUGAUACUGACACUGAGGUGCGAAAGCGUGGGGAGCAAAC
rnacentral:rRNA from 1 species